rnacentral:lncRNA from 1 species
GGAGAUGACAGACAAAUUAAGUAUCUAAUGGCUGAAACUAAGGAAGCAGGGUACCUUUUGACAGGCAGAAAUGUACACUCACAUCCGUGCAAGGCAUGCUGAUAACCUAUACCUAGAGGAUGGGUCACCUAUAUAUGAGGGGGUUUUGUGAGUUGCCUUAUACGGAUAUAUCCCUGAGGGCAGGAUCUGUCACUUAGUCCUUAUAAUCUGCCCUAAUACACCGUGUAAUGAGUUAUGUACUUCUCAGAUAAAGAAACCACGUUCAAAUCCAAAUUAGACAAUCAUGCCCUUUAUGUAUCAAAAGUUCAUUUCAUUAAUGUCAAUGUGAUCUAUUGUUGAAUGGAUAAAGCAUAGCCAAUAAGGAAUAUUCAAAUCAAAUAUGAAAAACUGAAAGGUUAUUUCCUUUAAGAAGUAAUCGCUGAUGGAUAGAUAGCAUUGCAAAGUUGAUAAAUGUUCCGUGCUAUAUAUUCUCACAGAUACACACAGUAGAGGGAAUAUAAACAAGGCUAUGAAGCAUACAAAGAAGAGAUUCUCUUUCAUUUCCCAGACCCUUGCUGAAUUCUUUCACCCACAGGAUCUCAUUAAAGCCUCAGAAACACCUUGUGAGUAAGCAUCACUGCUUUCUUACUGGACCCCAGAGCUUUGUAAUUCAAGGAGACUACACAAGUAGCAGAAGAACCACACUGUACAUAACCCCCGUUACUUUUGCGGCCUCUUGUCAUGGGAAAAGUCCUUUUGCGACAGUUCUCAGUUCCUCAGUAGUUCAGUAGAGAUAAUCUGAUAGGCAUUGAAGACAGGGAUGUCCAUUCACUCAAUUGCAUGCCUGAGAAAUGACAUUAUGUGAGGUGUUGGGCUGGACUGGUGAGCUCAGAGCAGACCCAGCUUCUCUGCUGUGUGCUGGGAGGGGGCAGUAAAUUAAGACUUAAAUGAUACCAAACAGAGACUGUCAUUAAAGCUUACUAUUAUAGGGUGACAGCCACCCAAACAGGUUUCUGGUAAAGAUGUACUGGUGGACAUAUGAAUGAGAAUGGCUUUUAGUCGAGACAAGAGAGGCACUUGAAUGUGUACUGAUGCAGCCUAUGGGGCUGGGCUUAUAGUAGAAGGGCUGAGACAUGACACAUCCUACAUAAUCAGUGAUGACUACCUAUUUGGUUUGUCCUAAUUGUUCCUAAGUUGGGAGUUGGGCGAAUGUUGAGAAGAUUGUUAGUUAUUAAUUAAUCAAAUCCAGGCUGUUGAGCAGACUUCCUGGAGUGUUUGAGGCACAGUAGUUUGACUCUUGCCACUGCUUACUAUACAUAUAUUCAUUCCCUUGGCUCAUAGAAGGUUCUAGGCCAGAGUUUUUUGUUUUGCUUAUUUGUUUGUUUUCUUGUUUUUGUAGGUAAUCUGGCCUCUGACUCUUUGGGUGUCAGUCUCAUGGAUGUGGACAGAUUUCUGUACCUUUCAACUAAAAGCAAGAUGUCUACUCUGAGUUUAUUUUUAAGGUUAUCUAGACUUGCCAGGAUGUGGGCAGAAGUUGGGGAAAUAACAGAACUUUUUAACCUCAGAAAGGUAGGUGAUCCUCUUUUAUAAACAGUAUUAUCCCUGCUGGCCUUUAUGAAAAGGCUUAC